rnacentral:rRNA from 1 species
GGCGAACGCUGGCGGCGGGCUUAACACAUGCAAGUCGAACGGAAAGGCCCUGCUUUUGUGGUGUGCUCGAGUGGCGAACGGGUGAGUAACACGUGAGUAACCUGCUCUUGACUUUGGGAUAACUUCAGGAAGCUGGGGCUAAGACCGUAUAGGAGCUCCUGCUGCGUUGUGGGGGUUGGAAAUUUUCGGCGGGUGGGGAUGGACUCGCGGGUUAUCAGCUUGUUGGUGGGGUAGGUGCUUACCCAGUCUUUGGAGGGUCGCCGGCACGAGAGGGUGAACGGCCACCUUGGGACUGAGAUACGGACCAGACUCCAACGGGAGGCAGCAGUGGGGAAUAUUGCACAAUGGGAGGAAGCCUGAUGAAGAAACGCCGCGUGCGGGAUGACCGCCUUCGGGUUGUAAAAAGCUUUAGCCUGUGACGCAGCGUGAGUGACGGUAAUGGGUAAAGAAGCACCGGCUAACUACGUG